rnacentral:rRNA from 1 species
UACGAAGGGGGCUAGCGUUGUUCGGAAUCACUGGGCGUAAAGGGUGCGUAGGCGGGUCUUUAAGUCAGGGGUGAAAUCCUGGAGCUCAACUCCAGAACUGCCUUUGAUACUGGCGAUCUCGAGUCCGGGAGAGGUGAGUGGAACUGCGAGUGUAGAGGUGAAAUUCGUAGAUAUUCGCAAGAACACCAGUGGCGAAGGCGGCUCACUGGCCCGGUACUGACGCUGAGGUGCGAAAGCGUGGGGAGCAAACAGG